CUAGUCCACACUAAACCCCCAUGGCUUUGCCCUAGCUAAUCCAGCACUCGGCACAGGCUUCCAGGAGACCGGAAUGAUGACGACGGCCGCGGCUCCGAGGUGGCCGUGUGGCGGAGGGCCGACAGAAUGGAGGCUGCAGCAGCCUUCUGAAUUCUUCGCGGCGACCGAUGUGCUGAGCUGCUUUCCUCUCUGAAAAGUUCAGCACUGAAUUUUAGCCAGCAUGCACCCCUCAGCUUGCCCGUGCGAGUGCAGAGCAUGCCAUGCCAUGCUGUGCUCCCUCCCUGAUUACUUUAUCAUUGGCUGCUACUGUAGCUAUCUGCAUCCAUGGUGAUGUUUUGGAUCAUUCAGACCAAAAAUGGCAGAAGCGAGGACUUCAGAACAACAGGCGACAAUAGACAGGCAGACAACAUGUUUUGUCAAGGAGCUCAUGCAAAUCUGCACCAAAUUUCAGUUAGCAGGACUGCAGGAGCGAACGGUCAGACGAUAACCAUUGCAUGUUUUUGAAUCUUUAUUUAUAUAUAUAUAUGUUCAGAAGCAAAAAUCUCAGGAGUGUCGAUGAACGAACGAGCUUGCAGGAGAGCAGGCAGAGCCGAGAAGGAGGAAACAAUCGAUGAGCAAGCCGGCCUCCUUUUUCCCGGCCUGAAAAUCAAUGGAGUAAUUGGUGAAAAAAGCCCCUCAAAACUCCUGACCAAAGUAGGCUUUUAGCUUUAGAAGUAUGCAAAGAGGGCCGGAGAGGAGGAGGCGACUUUCUCCCCUACCUACAAAGCUUCUACUGUUUUUUCAGCAGCCUCGCUCACACCUUUUGGGCUUAGUUUGGCCAUGAUGAUGAAUGCAGUUUUUGCAUUGAGCUACUACUUCGUAUUAGCAGCUGUUAAUUAAUUGUAAAGGAUUAUUCUUUUGCCGCUCUUUGAUUGUUAGUGACUAAGUGGGGAUUACCUACUAGUACUCAAGCUAGA